rnacentral:lncRNA from 1 species
AUUUUCGAAAAAAAAUAAAUAAUAUUAAUUUAGAAAAAAAAUAGCUGGAAACAAAUUUAGGAUUAUUUUAACAAGAAACACUAAAUUAUUGGUAACAAAUCAAUAAUAAAAUUUAAAAACAAAUAAAUCAAAAACAAAUCCGAAAAAAAAAUAUUCGAAUUAUAUAAUUUAUAAAAUUUUCUGAAAUAAAAACAUAAAAUAAUGAAACAAUAUCACAAAAAAUAAGGAAACGAAAUGGAAGAAAAAAAAGGAAACAAAAUAGACGAAAAAAAGGAAACAAAAUAGAUGCAAAAAAAGGAAACAUAACAACAAAUUUCGGAUAUAUAUACAUGGAAAAAAUCAAGGGAUAAAACAGUAAAAGCACAAAACCUCUAAAAAUCGGCCCACUCUCUACCCACCAAAAAAAUCG